CCGGCCAUCAAAAUGCUUUUUAUUUCUGCAUAUGUUGAAUACUUUUUACAAUUUAAAAAAAGAUCUGUUUUGAAGGCAAAAUUACAAAUCUUGAAAUUAAAAAGGCAAAAAUGUAAAGGAGUCAAAACUGUAAAUCAAGUAUUUGGGAAGUGAAGACUGGAAGCUAAUUUGCAUUAAAUUCACAAAAACUUUUAUAGUCUUUCUGUAUAUACUUUUUUUUUCCUUAAAAAACAACUAUGAAUCAGAAUAGCUAUAUUUGGAACACUUUUUGUUAUCAGUGAAUAUUUUUAGAUAGUUAGAACCUGGUCCUAAGCCUAAAAGUGGGCUUGAUUCUGCAGUAAAUCUUUUACAACUGCCUCGACACACAGAAACCUUUUUAAAAACAGACACUCCCCGAAGUCUUUCGUUCGCAUGGUCACACACUGAUGCUUAGAUGUUCCGGUAAUCUAAUGUGGC
rnacentral:lncRNA from 1 species